UGUGGGAGCGAGCUUGCUCGCGAUAGCGCCGGGUCAGGCGAUGCAAGUUUCGAAUGUCAGUCAGCCAUCGCGAGCAAGCUCGCUCCCACA
rnacentral:misc_RNA from 1 species